UCUAAACAGCCAUAUCACCCUGCAACUCACAACUGGCAACCCACUGAAGCUAAGCAGGUGUGAGCCUGGUCAGUACCUGGAUGGGAGACCUCCUGGGAAAAACUAAGGUUGCUGCUGGAA
rnacentral:rRNA from 1 species